rnacentral:lncRNA from 1 species
CUCUGUCUGUAGACAGAGCUUCGAGAGAGCAGAUGGAGCCACAAUAGGCCGUGCUGUUGCUAGGAGACGAGAGGCCUCUCACUCGGCACCUGGUCCUCCCUUCCCGGGCCCCUCCUCCACUUCACCCAAAGAUGUCAGCAAAUUGCAUCUGCGAGGCCUCAGACUGCCAUUGCCACAUCCGCUGCGCAUCUCGCCUGUGGGCUCCGGCCGCAGCCCCCCUCCCUCUCAGUACCUUGCAACAGGCUCUGGAGAUUGAGCUGCGCCUCUCGAAGCAGCUCCUCUACACUCGGGGGCCUGCCCGAGGAGAGGAACACGUUCACUGGCUGUCGCCAUGA